GAUGAAUCAGACAUGGAUCCUGCCUUUGA
rnacentral:piRNA from 1 species